rnacentral:ncRNA from 1 species
AAAACAGACCAUGCAAACACAGCCUCCUAAUCCUUCUGAGAAGUUACCACAGGAAUAACUGGCUUGUGGCAGCCAAGCGUUCAUAGCAAGGUCACUUUUUGAUCCUUCGAUGUCGGCUUUUCCUAUCAUUGUGAAGCAGAAUUCACCAGGUGUUGGAUUAUUCCCCCACUCAUGGGGAACGUAAGCUGGGUUUAGACCGUUGUGAGACAGAUUAGUUUUACCCUACUGAUGAUGUGUUGUUGCCAUGGUAAUCCUGCUCAGUAUGAGAGGAACCGCACAUUCAGACAUUUGGUGUAUGUGCUUGGCUGAGGACCCAGUGGGGCACAGCUACCAUCUGUGGCAGGGGUCCUCAAACUUUUUAAACAGGGGGCCAGUUCACUGUCCCUCAGACCAUUAGAGGGCCGGACUACCGGCCCCAGGAUGAAUCAACUGCUAAGCAGGACAGGCAGUGGCAGCAAAAACAUCCGGCGGGCUGGAUAAAUGUCCUAGACGGGCUGCAUGUGGCCCGCAGCCUGUAGUUUGAGGACACCUGAUCUGUGGGAUUAUGACUGAACACCUCUAAGUCAGAAUUCCACCUAGGUGGAACAAUACAGCA